CGGACGGGUGAGUAACGCGUGAGUAACCCACCUUACACAAGGGGAUAGCCGUUGGAAACGACGAAUAAUACCCUAUGAAACUAUCACUUCGCAUGAAGCGAUAGUCAAAGUGUUAGCGGUGUAAGAUGGACUUGCGUCUGAUUAGCUAGUUGGUGAGAAAAAAGCCCACCAAGGCAACGAUCAGUAGCCGGCUUGAGAGAGUGUACGGCCACAUUGGGACUGAGACACGGCCCAG
rnacentral:rRNA from 1 species